GUGUCCUACGGGAGGCAGCAGUGGGGGAUAUUGCACAAUGGGGGGAACCCUGAUGCAGCGACGCCGCGUGGGUGAAGGAGCGUUUCGGCGCGUAAAGCCCUCUCGGCAGGGAAGAAAAUGACGGUACCUGACUAAGAAGCCCCGGCUAACUACGUGCCAGCAGCCGCGGUAAUACGUAGGGGGCAAGCGUUAUCCGGAUUUACUGGGUGUAAAGGGAGCGUAGACGGCGGCGCAAGUCCGGAGUGAAAGCCCAAGGCCCAACCGUGGGACUGCUCUGGAAACU
rnacentral:rRNA from 1 species